UCCGGCCUACGGGGGGCAGCAGUGGGGAAUAUUGCACAAUGGGGGAAACCCUGAUGCAGCAACGCCGCGUGAGUGAUGACGGCCUUCGGGUUGUAAAGCUCUGUCUUCAGGGACGAUAAUGACGGUACCUGAGGAGGAAGCCACGGCUAACUACGUGCCAGCAGCCGCGGUAAUACGGAGGAUGCGAGCGUUAUCCGGAUUUAUUGGGUUUAAAGGGUGCGUAGGCGGAAUGCCAAGUCAGCGGUAAAAUCGCGGGGCUCAACCUCGCUCCGCCGUUGAAACUGGCGUUCUUGAGUGGGCGAGAA
rnacentral:rRNA from 1 species